AUUUUCUCCCUAUGUCGUUUGUUUUCUAUUGAAGGCUAAACUAUUAGUAAAAAUCUCAACUUUACCAACUCAUGAUAGUGAAAGGAGCAUCAAAGCUAGGACAGGAAAGAAAACAAGUGAGCUGGAAUUGGCUGAAACGCGGUUACAACUUGAGCUGGUUAAGCAGCUGGAUCUGGAUACGACACUUUUGUGCAGUUUUGAUGAGAACAAUGUAAAAUCCUUGAAGCUCUACGAGGAAAAGUUCACUCUUUCUCUCUUUAUUUUAGUUUAUUUUUAUCUUUUAAUAUUUGGGUUUCUUGGUUUUGUUGCUCAUUUUGAUUAAAAGAUGGAAACUUGUUAUAGUUUUAAUGCCGUUCUUAACCGGUUUCAGUCACAAUCUUCAAAAGCAAUAAUGGGUUUUAAGUACAAAUUUUGGUGUUGGAGAAUGGAGAUCAUGUAGAUUGAUGAAAGCUUAAACUUCUGCUUUGCGAUAUGUAGAUGGUGCUUAAACAGUAGCAGAGGAAUUACAUAGAUGAUGCUUUACCACAUGUAGUAAAAGGGUUUGCCUUUGUUCUUUGAUGAAGGCAUUUCCAGUCUCCAGACCAGACAAGCAUGGUCCUUUUUCUUGUUGCUUAAUCUGAUACUGGCAGAAGCAAAUUACUGUCACACAUAAUACAUACCACUACUAGGUAAUUCCGGCAAUUCCAUCCCACUGAGUAUGGAGUGAACAUCCUUGACCAAUGGGCCAAACACCGGAGUUGUUUACAACUUUGAGAAAUGCUUCUAUGUGUAGCGAGGAAGUUGCUAUGUGUUCUUGAAUCUUGAAAGCAGGUUUCUAUAAUAUUACCCUCAAUUUCAUUGUGCUAUGCGUGAUAAGAUGUAUGAGUCCACCGGCAAUAGACACUGUGUGCACCAAUUAUACGUCUCCACUCGACAGUAUUUGUUGUUGGGGGUUGCCUGGUAGCCAUAAAGCUCUAACCCUACUCUAUCCCCUGCUUUGCUUUGCAUUGCUAAAGCCCCUGCCAUUUCAGCUGCAAUGAUGCUAAAUUCCUUCCACAAACAUCCUACUUUAUUGUGCUUGCUUUUAGCGACUUCAAGUUUAGCAAUGGAACAGUUCCUUUCUUUAAAUAAUGAAACAUAAGCUAUCCAAUACUAGGACAUAGCAUUUCCCAUAAAUGAUGAUCACCAGGCUUCCCUACCCUCCAGCCUACGAUUGGGAAAUUCUCAAAUAGUUUUUCUUUCUCAAGGAAUUCUUAAAAUUGUUAGUAAUUUGAAAGCAAAAGUGUCCAUGGCCCGGUCGGGUCAAGUUAGAUUUGGGUCCAUGUAUGUUAUUAAAACGCUUCAUAUUUGUUAAGUUUAGUUCGACUUGAAACAUAGAUAUCAAAAUUUUGUCAAGUUCA